UACAGAGGAUGCAAGCGUUAUCCGGAAUGAUUGGGCGUAAAGCGUCUGUAGGUGGCUUUUUAAGUCCGCCGUCAAAUCCCAGGGCUCAACUCUGGACAGGCGGUGGAAACUACCAAGCUGGAGUACGGUAGGGGCAGAGGGAAUUUCCGGUGGAGCGGUGAAAUGCGUAGAUAUCUGGAGGAACACCGGUGGCGAAAGCGGCUCACUGGACCUGAUCUGACACUGAGGUGCGAAAGCUAGGGUAGCAAACGGG
rnacentral:rRNA from 1 species